AGUGGGCAGUUUAACUGACCCUUUGGUGUUCUGACAGGACCUAACAUUAAAAGCCCUUUCAUAGCAAGAAAAUACCAAGGAUCUCUGCUACCUGAAUUAUGUCUAGCACCCAGGGACAAAGCACAAGGCCUUUUUUUCACCUUUGUUCUUGCUGGUCCCACGUCCUAGAAGGCUUUUGAUAUCCAGUGUCAGCAUCUCAUUCAACCAUAAAAGGACAAGGUUUCUCUGCAUAGUCCUGGCUAUACUGGAACUGGCUCUAUAGACAAGUCUAGCCUCAAACUGAGAUCCACUUGUUCCUCCUCCCUCCGGAGUGUAGGGAUUAAAGUAAGUUCAAGUAGUGCUACCUCAUGGGUCUGAGGUCAUCCACUGCAUCCUAAGGACAGCAGAGUCUCUCUCUCCUCUGCCAGAUGUUAUCAACAACCUCAACAAGACAGCCUAGCAUAGCAACACUCUGAGAGGCUCCACCCAGCAGCUUGCUGAGAAAGAUGCAGAUACCCCCAGACAAACUGGACGGAAGUCAGGGAACCUUGUGAAAGAAUUAGGAGAGGAAUUGAAGGCCCUCAAGGAGAUGGCAACCCCACAGGAAGACCAACAGUGUCAACUAACCUGGACCCCUGGGAGCUCCCAGAGACUGAGCCAUCAACCCAAGAGCAUACACGGGCUGGUCCAAGGCUCCCAGCACAUAUGUAGCAGAGUGAUGCCACAUCUGGUCUCAGGGGAGAGCAUGCACCUAAUCCUGAAGAGACUUGAUGUACCUGG